rnacentral:tRNA from 1 species
ACCUGGGUGGCUCAGUGUUUGAGCGUCUGCCUUUGGCUCAGGUCAUGAUCCCAGGGUCCUGGGAUCAAGUCCCACCUCAGGCU